UAGAUUCUUUAAACUAUUAAUUCGUUAUUCUCCGUGUUUUCUAUUCGAUCGUUUGACGCAGGUUUAGUGGCAUAGUGUCUGUGAAUAUUCAAUCUCAUAUCGUUAUCCUUCGCUGAAAAUUGUCUACUACGUUCGUUGCUAUUUUAUCCUGAUAAAUUGUAUUUUGUAGGAAUCGGUUUUUUUUGUAAAUCCUCGGUAUAAAUCUACCUGUUGUUACGUUUAAUUGCGAUAGAACUACAUUUUAAGUAUUUCGAACGUUUCUUGCAACAGAAAGCAAGGGAAUUUCAGAGCCGAGAAUAACGCGUCGUGUACUCAUUUAGAAAAUCGUGUUAUUUUCGGAUCAAAAGCAGCGCUGCGUAUACGAGAUACGUCGUCUAUGAAACAUAUAAUAUUGUUAGUAUGUUUACACUGAUCAGUGACGAGCACGAGUAUGCAUAACAUUCGGCAAUUUAAAACCGCGUUUUAAAAUCGUUCGCCAGAUAACGAAGGAGAAGUCGAACGAUAACGUUUGCAACUUUUCAACAACGAAAACCACAUUCUACCAUCUCGUAUAGAAAAUAUUUUACUCGACGUUGUACGAUAAGUUUCGUCCAAGACGAAUCCAGACACUUUGUUGUCAGAUGUUUUUUCUUUAUUAUUUAUUUAUUUACAUUUUACAAUUUGUCCAGUAGGACAUUUGGUAGAAUAUUAUAGCUUAGUGAUUGUUGUCAGAUGAAACGAAGAAUAUUUAAUAAUCAAAAUGUAAAUAGAUCUUAAGAGAUACUAAAGAAAGUCAACUUAAAAAGUUUAGGUUUAUCGUGGGUCCCUGGGGGAAUUGAGGGUGCGCGGUGGCCUCUGAUAAAAUUGACGUUACAAAAUAUUCGACAAAUUGCGUUGGACAAAUGUCCUACUGGACAAAUUGUAAAAUGUAAAUAAAUAAAUAAAAAAAAAAAAAAAAAUUGUGUUGCGGAUAUGUCUCAACGCGAUACGCAGCAGAAAAAAUAUACUUUCACGUAAAUCCCGCUGUCUGCUGCUGGAAAAAUCUAACAAGGUUGAUUCGCAGAAUCGUUAAUCACUGAUAAUAAAAGAUUCUUUCUAUUUGCAGACAUCCAUCAUUAUCUGUGAUAAUCUGAGUAUCUGUGAUCGCGAAUCUUACUGUUUAUUAGAAACUGAUCAACCACAACAACACGUAUCUAACGAUAAGUAUAACAGAACAAGGACUCCUGAUCGUUUCUGAUUAUGGAAAUAUAUCGACCAGAAACGUUUGAAACGUUCAACCUUAUUACUCUGUCGAAUGUAAAUCUAACGAAAAAGGAAUCCAAAAGAUAAUUGUCAAAGUGCGUGUAAAAAGUAAUUUCAAAAUGUGUAAUUAAAGACUACUGUUCACUAGAAGAGAUUGAUCAACCACAACCACACGUGUACGUAUUAUAUCGUCUAAAAUAUUAAAAGAAUAAUUCAUUUCAAAGGUUCCUUAACAUUAACGUUAAUCGCUUGUAUUUGAUAAGAUCUAACGAUAAGUACAACAGAACAAGGACUCCUGAUCGUUUCAGAUUAUGGAAAUAUAUCGACCAGAAACGUUUGAAACGUUCAACCUUAUUACUCUGUCGAAUGUAAAUCUAACGAAAAAGGAAUCCAAAAGAUAAUUGUCAAAGUGCGUGUAAAAAGUAAUUUCAAAAUGUGUAAUUAAAGACUACUGUUUACUAGAAGAGAUUGAUCAACCACAACCACACGUAUCUAACGAUAAGUACAACAGAACAAGGACUCCUGAUCGUUUCUGAUUAUGGAAAUAUAUCGAUCGGAAACGUUUGAAACGUUUAACUUUACCACUGUAAAUUUAACGAAAAAGAAAUCUAAAAGAUCAGUACGACGAGCAGCUUAACGAAUGUGGAUAGUAAAUUCAGAUAUUGAAUUUAUCGUUGCACGAUGAAUUUUGAAUGGAGUAAGAUAGAGAUCGAUAGGAAAAUUGUUAAGCUACUUUGGAAACAACGUUGGAAUAAACAAAAUUUUUAAGUAAUCAGUCAGAUGCUAAUCUUGUCGAAUCGGAAGAGUUUUCUUUUAGAGAGCAACGUUACUGCCGUCGAUGGUAACGUGAAACAUCUGUAUUGAAUCAUCGAAGUCGGAGAUAUAUUAAGUAGCUUAACAAAAACGAAUCGGAGAAAUAUCGUUAGAAUAUUGAAAUUCGUUUAUUAAUUACAUUUGGUAAUUACGUUUAAAAUCAACGACAAUGAAACGAACUUUUUUAUCUUGUACGUAUCAUCACUAAAUCUAAAUUCAAUUAAAGAGCAACGAAAUUUAUCGAUCGCGUUCAAUCGUCGUAUCUAAAUCCAACGAAAGAGAAAGACAAUUUAUUUGUUAUUCCCGAUUCUUUAAUUACGAAUUUGUUAAAUCGAAUCGUUAAAUCUAAAUCCAACGGAAUCCAGCGAAUAUCUGUAAAUAUAUCUGAGAAAAAGAAAUAACAAAGCAAAUUCGGAUCUCGUCGAUACGAACAACUUGCUUUUCCCCUUCGAAGUAACGUAACGCACUUUCCAUCGUCGACGCCAAACACUCGCAGAACGAACGUAGUAUCUCAAGUUCUUCGAAAGGAAACAGGAAAGCAGCGAGAAACACUGGUUCACCGCGUUUCAGCAUUGACCGACCCAGUUACUCGACACAGCUAUUCCAUUAAAACACGCUUUCCAACCAAUGCAAAAUCCUCAUUUUCACUGAUUCCUCCAUAUACGUUUUUAUCGGCGACGAACCGAUCCGAUUACAUCAUUGCCUGGUCGAAUCGACUCUGAUGGGAAUUCGAGAACGAAGAUCAGAGGAAAUUUCCUUUACUGUGCCAACGAGGAUAGGAAAACGAGCAAACAGCAACGAAUAGCGGAAACUGAACUACGAAAUAACAAACAAAUCAAGGGAACUUAACUGGAACUUAAUUUCGUGAACGUAAUUGGAAAAAUUGUUGGGUCGAUGUUUGAUUUAGUUUAAUGAAAGUUUAGUCGACCACGUUGUCGAUCUAUUUUUAACGUUAUAGUUAAAAUAUACGUGGAACUUUAGUUUGGCGAAUGCAGUUGGACAAAUUGACGAGUGUUCGAUAAGUGCGAAGGUUCCCUCGACGGUAUAAAUCGUCUUUAGUAUCAUAGUUAAAGAUAGAAUUUUCUAUAUCAGUUUCGAUGCAAAUGUUUCGCUUUACAUUUGACGUUUUGAAUUUUAAAGUAAAUUUAUGUUCAGCCAACUUAUCGAAAACGUGGAAUUACAGAACGGGCAAUCUUGGAGAUUUCGUUUAAGAUAUUCGAGUACCUUGAGAAUUAAGAGAAUACAAUUUUGUCAACAUAGCUGGUAGUAGUAGUUUUAUAACUCGAGUGCUCUAUUGAUAAAUAUUAAUGAGAUUAUCGAUAUUAUAAACAGGGAAUUAUCGUAAAUUUCAGUUCCAGGUACUUGGAAAAUAAACAUCGAAUAAAUACUCGCGAUUGUAUUUGACAGUACCACUUACGUUUUUCGAAAUACUUAUACGAUAUAAGAGUUAUUGUCUUUUUCAAGUGUGAAUUAAAUGCUCGAAAUA